UUUGGGACCAAUGUCAUUGAGGAUGCUUAUGAAAUUUGAAAAAUACUGGCUUGAAUUUUCAGUGAUUUUAUCGAUUGUUGUGAUAUUUGACCCUAGGUAUAAACUUGAGUUUGUGGAUUGGAGUUGCAGAAAGUUGUAUGGUAGUCAAUCUUCAAAAUUUCAGACUGUUCGAGACAAAUUAUUCUCAUUUUAUGAAGAGUGCAUCAAAAGAGAAAGUGGUGCCAGAUCCUGAUCAAGAGUUUGAAUCCGUAGAUAUGCUGGAGCAUCUUCGAAAAACUCCGAGCUAGAAAAGUACUUAGAUGAGACAAGGAGCGAUAGAAAGACAGACUUGGACAUUCUUGAGUAUUGGAAGAUUAACUCCCAACGAUAUCCGACGGUUGCAAGGACGACUCGUGAUGUUUUGAGCAUUCUCGUAUCCACGGUUGCCUCCGAGACAACAUUCAGCUGUGGAGGUCGUGUUCUUGAUCAGUAUCGGAGUUUUUUGAAACCCGACCUUGUGGAAGCACUCAUGUACUCUCGAGAUUGGCUUUAUGGAUUAGCCGAUGGUUGGUGGAAUUUCCGUGGAUCAACUCACAGAGGAUGUGAUGAACUUAAACAUUAGCGAGGAGCCAUCAACUCAAGGGUCCAAUACUGUGGUUAAUUGAGGGAGAGAUUAGCUCUUGGGAACAUCAAUAGGUCUAUGGAAAAGACUCUUGGUAAGAGUUGUAGAGCUCUAUCGCUUUUGUAUUCGCAGUUGUUUGGCUUGGGUUGGAUUCUCUUAUCUUUCGCAGUUGUUUGGCUUUGUAGAACUGCUCUGUUAUGUUAGUGGUCCUCAGAUUAUUGGGA